CCUCUGGUGGUCUAGUGGUUAGGAUGCGGCGCUCCCACCGCUGUGGCCUGGGUUCAAUUCCUGGUCAGGGAA
rnacentral:tRNA from 1 species